GCCUGGGUGGCUCAGUCGGUUAAGCGUCUGACUUCAGCUCAGGUCAUGAUCUCACAGUUCGUGAGUUCGAGCCCCGCGUCGGGCU
rfam:Felis catus isolate Cinnamon breed Abyssinian chromosome A1, whole genome shotgun sequence.